UUCAUAUGUACAAUAAAACGCACGACAAUAUUUUAUAUACCUAUUCUUUUUCUUGUAAAUCGUAUGAGGAAAAAUAAAAUUAACAUAACACAUAAGGUCGACCAGAGGUGGCUCUAGCGACAUGGUUGGAGGGGGGGGGCUAAGUCAUAAUUUUCUGAAAACUUUCGAUAUUAUUAUGGUUCUUUUUUGAAAUUUUGUCUUCAAAAGUAUACAAUUUUAGAUAUACGGGCUUGGGGGGGGGGGCCUGGAGCCGCCCUGAGGUCAACCAUAUCACAAAAUACAUUUUAGAUUUCUAGAGUGGUUCUUCUAGUGAUCUAGAGCUAUCGUAUUCGUAUAGCUGUAUAUACUAUGAACAUGAAAUUAUCGAAAAAGAUUAUAGGGUAUACUAUUAUUCAAAAGAUCCAAUGUGUUUACUGUAGAAAUAAAAAAUAGUUUUACUGUUCAAAUUUUAUUUUGAGAACUACUUUUAAUGACGAAUUUGCUGAGAUCAUGACUUAUUUUGAACUUUGAUCUUCUUGAACUCAGAGCACUAGAGCAGCGCCGCUUUAACAAUAUAUCCUAUAAAUGAGCCCAUGCCGAUCACGUUCCGACGUCAUACCUUUCCUCAUUCCUCAAUGGGGCCAAGCCAUGCUUCCCCCCCCCCCUGGCAUCGACUGUUUCUUGCCAAAUAUGACAAUGUAGAAUAGAAAAUAUUUACCUCUAAUAUAAAAAAAAUCUCGUUGAGGAAUGAAAGUUUUAGAUUUUACUUGUACACAAAAAUAUUAUUAGUACCUCAAAAAGAUAGUUAAGAAUAUCAGUGCCGGGUUUUUCCUAUUUUUCACAAUUCUAUCAAAUUUGAAAAUUAUAUUUUAUAUUUUAGAUACUUCCUCAUCAUAAUACUUUUCCUCUAUUCUACUGCCAUAUUUCUAUUUAGAGGGGUUAAUACGGUGGAUUAUAUCAACGAAAAUGACUUCACAGAAAAAAUUCUCAUGCCCUGUAGAAUAAUCGGAUUUCGUUCAUUUGUUUUUUUUUUAUUUAAAACCAGAGAACUUUUUUCAGGUCGAAUCAAACAACAAAUUUUCAUUAUACCUUAAAUAGUGCUAAAAAAAAUACCCUUGAAAAGAACAAGUAUCGUGUAUUAUUAAAAUUCAUAUUUUAGCUUCUGUAGUUAUAAUUUAAAUAAUCGGGCUUUAAUUCGACCUGAAAAAAAUUACGAUAUUUGACUGAUCUACAAGGCGUGAGAGUUUUUCCUGUAGGACAUAUUGGUAGUGAUGUCAUACGCGAUUUACCUAAAUAGGCGAUCUACCGAGCAGUUCCAAGAUAAUUUACAAAUUUAAGAUUAAUUUUAAAAUUAUUAAAUCAUAGCCUAAAUUGUAUUGAUCCAGGUACAGGAGCACAUACUUAGUCAAUGGAGGGUCUUUGGCGUAUUUUGAAGAAAAGAUACGGUAUAAAAGUAAACGGAGCUUCACCUUUACUCGAAAAGCAGUUGAAGGAAGAGUGGUGGCGAUCACUUCAUCUAUCCAUAGAUACAAUAGUUGACGAUUUUCUUUCAGACACGAAAACAACAUUUUUAGCUUAAGAAAAGAAGAAUCGGUACUCAACAGAUUGAGAAUAGGACACACGCGACUUACACACGGGCACCUAAUGGCUAAGGAAGAACCACCAUUAUGCGAAGUAUGUGGUGUCCAGAUAUCAGUGAAACACAUAAUAACAGAAUGCCUAAAAUACCAGCAAGAACGUCAAAACACCGGAUUGGACACGACCCUCGACAUCGCAUUGGGACCCAAUGCUGUGGAGAACAAUAAGAUGAUCCUUUUUUUGAAGUCAACAGGUCUUUAUAAUUUAAUUUAAUGAUUCACAUUUGUUUUAUUUCUUUCUUAUAUAAAUACUUAGAAACCAUACUGUUAUAACUUAUCUUUAAUAUUGUAAUCCCCUACAAAAAAAAAAAAAAAUGAUGUAAAAAUCUUAAACCAUGUAAACAUACCAUAACUGUAACUAAUGGCCAUGCAGUUGCCGAGUUUUUGUAUUUGAUCAAUAAAAAAAAAAAAAAAAAUAAUAAUA